CACCCAGGGAAUGGCUGCCAGUGCCAGAGGGCAGCAAUGGAUGGGAUCUUGGCCAUGAGGAAUUGUUCCCUGGCAGGGUGGGCAGGGCUGGCACAGGGUGCCCAGAGCAGCUGGGGCUGCCCCUGGAUCCCUGGCAGUGCCCAAGGCCAGGCUGGGCACUGGGGCUGGAGCAGCCUGGCACAGGGGAAGGUGUCCCUGCCAUGGCACUGGGUGGGAUUUGGGUCCCUCCCACUCUGGGAUUCCCCCCAAAUGUCACCAAUUGAGGAACUGCCUGUCCUUGGCCACUGUGAUCUUUUUGUUCCUCCAGCUGUGUCCCACCCUCAGUGGCAUGCCCAGACACCCAGAACUCAGGAUGAGUUUCACAGCCCAAGAGAAGCCUUUUCUCAGAAGGGCUGAGCAGGCAGACAGGUCCAUUCCUGGCAGGACGGGGUGUUUAUGUCUCACAUGAGCAGAGAGCUCUGUUUUGUGUGCUCAUGGAAACUGCUCUGAGCAGGCACUGCCUGACUGCACUUCCUCUGUCUCCCAGAGACUUGAUUUCAUCACUCAUUUACUGUAAGUGAAUCACCAAACUUUUUUUUUUUUUUUUUACUUUAACACCAGUUUUUUUACUUUUAACACUUUUUUUUUUAACUUUGAUCCUCACAGCAUGGUGAAAUGCACACACAGAAUGGGCCCAAAGGCUCUGGGAAAGCCUGGCCCAGCUCUGAAUUCAGCAGCAAACCCAAAAUCCUGCUCCAGACACAAACCGUGUUACCUGAGCCUGGUGAAAUCACAGAACCCUGGGCUGGGCUGGAAAGGACCUGAAAAAUCACCCAUCAAAACUCAAAUCUCUUCCAGGGUGAUGGAAUUUCCUUUAACCCUCUGUAGGUGAGACACAAAAUGUCAAAUCUCUUCCAGGGUGAUGGAAUUUCCUUUAAUUCCUCACUCUGUAGGUGAGACACAAAAUCUCAAAUCUCUUCCAGGGUGAUGGAAUUUCCUUUAAUUCCUCACUCUGUAGGUGAGACACAAAAUCUCAAAUCUCUUCCCAGGUGAUGGAAUUUCCUUUAACCCUCUGUAGUGAGACACCUGAAGGGACUCCAUGAGAGGGACUGGGACAAGGCUGGAGGGACAGGACACAGGGGCAGGGUAGGACUGGAAAUUGGGACCAAAAUUGAAUUGGAGAUGCCUCUUUACACACCUAGAUAAUUUCCCAUCCACUUCCAAGAGUCCCCACACGAGGGUCCAGAUCACCCCCAGACACCAGAGCCCCCUCAGCAGAGUGUGCAGGGGGAGGGUUUGUGGCUGACCAGACCAAUGUGGGUUUUCUGCAAGAUUUUUUUUCCUUUUCAUGUCAGGGCACUAUCAAACAACUCAAUUCUGUUUCUCUUCCAGGAGGAAGGUUAAAAAUCCAAGCAGCAAACACCAGGAGUGGCAAGGGAUGAGGUCAGAGUUUGAAGAGCUUUUGCUGCAGAUUUUGUGCCAGAAAUUUCGCUGCAGGAAAAUCACAGGAUCAUUCAUCCCUCACUGUCUGAUUUGGCAUUGACUUGCUUCCCUCUCCCUAGGCUCAAAGACAAGAAAGCCAAUACACAGAAUUAUCCCUGGACUCCUGUAGGUUCUGCAGAUUUGCUGGAUUAUUGAUAUAAUUUUUUUUUUUUUACUGGAUGUUGCAUUAAACCCAGCUCUCUCUUCCCUCUGUCUUCAUUAAAUCGGUUUAUUCUCCAUUCUCCCCCUUCUCCUUAAGCUCCCAGUUUUAACAAAUCAUCCCUCAUCCUCCAGUGGUGGAAACCACAUCUUCCAUUAAACUUUUCUCACUUUGCCCCUCACUUUGUCCCAGAGAGGACUCCAGCAGAGUCAUUUCUUUGCUCUGAUUUACCAGGAGGCUCCAGACAGGACAGAGCUGGGCUGAAACCAAAACCCAGCCCAAGUUCCCCCGUGCCUUGGCAAAGGGCAGGCAGACACGACAGGUUCUGGGAUUUCUGCACUCCAACGUGUCCUUUAGCAGAAGGGAGGAGGGGAACCCCGCUGCCUGAGUCACAAGUGGAGUUUCUGCAAUUUCCAGUUCCUCCAGGCUUCUUUCCUCAAUCACAGCCUCAUUAACGAGGCACCCCUCAAUCCAAGUGCCCCUGAGGGCUCUGCUUUGCUGCUCAGUGCCCCUGUUUGGAAACGCGGCGGUGUCACAGCCUGUCCCUGUCCCUGGGGCACCCUGGGGCUCCUGCCCUGCCCUGCUGUGAAAUACCAGCCUGUGUUUUGUGUCAGGCACACACAGGCAACCUGUGACUGUGAUAUGUGUGCAAACUGACUGUGGAACAGUUAUAAAGACAAUUCUAAUAAAUAACUGAGGAAGUAAAGCAUGGAAGAAGGCCUUUGAUCAUAUCCCUUGUUUGCAAUUAACCUUUAUAAGUCUUCAGUUGAUUUAGGAGCAUUGGAAUGAAAGCUUUAAGGAUGUUGCUGUUUGACAGGAACGUUCUGCUUCUAGCUAAAAAGAGUUUUGCAAUAAUAACCUUUUGAAGUAUAAUUUUAGAAUCUUGCUUGUAGUAAGGAUCUUUGAAACUAUAGCUUUAGAAGAUAUAAAAAGGAAAGAUGCUUAUCUCGACACCUUAACAAAAU